UAAUUUCAUGAGUAAAAGUGAGUGGUA
rnacentral:sRNA from 1 species